rnacentral:rRNA from 1 species
UACGACCGAUCUCCGCAUGGAGUGUUGGUGGAAAAGUUUUUGUGGUGGGGGGAUGGACUCGCGGCCUAUCAGCUUGUUGGUGGGGUAAUGGCCUACCAAGGCGACGACGGGUAGCCGGCCUGAGAGGGCGACCGGCCACACUGGGACUGAGACACGGCCCAGACUCCUACGGGAGGCAGCAGUGGGGAAUAUUGCACAAUGGGCGAAAGCCUGAUGCAGCGACGCCGCGUGAGGGAUGACGGCCUUCGGGUUGUAAACCUCUUUCACCAGGGACGAAGCUAACGUGACGGUACCUGGAGAAGAAGCACCGGCUAACUACGUGCCAGCAGCCGCGGUAAUACGUAGGGUGCGAGCGUUGUCCGGAAUUAUUGGGCGUAAAGAGCUUGUAGGCGGUCUGUCGCGUCUGCUGUGAAAGACCGGGGCUUAACUCCGGUUCUGCAGUGGGUACGGGCAGACUAGAGUGUGGUAGGGGAGACUGGAAUUCCUGGUGUAGCGGUGAAAUGCGCAGAUAUCAGGAGGAACACCGAUGGCGAAGGCAGGUCUCUGGGCCAUUACUGACGCUGAGAAGCGAAAGCAUGGGGAGCGAACAGGAUUAGAUACCCUGGUAGUCCAUGCCGUAAACGUUGGGCGCUAGGUGUGGGACUCAUUCCACGAGUUCCGUGCCGCAGCUAACGCAUUAAGCGCCCCGCCUGGGGAGUACGGCCGCAAGGCUAAAACUCAAAGGAAUUGACGGGGGCCCGCACAAGCGGCGGAGCAUGCGGAUUAAUUCGAUGCAACGCGAAGAACCUUACCAAGGCUUGACAUACACCGGAAUCAUGCAGAGAUGUGUGCGUCUUCGGACUGGUGUACAGGUGGUGCAUGGUUGUCGUCAGCUCGUGUCGUGAGAUGUUGGGUUAAGUCCCGCAACGAGCGCAACCCUCGUUCCAUGUUGCCAGCACUUCGGGUGGGGACUCAUGGGAGACUGCCGGGGUCAACUCGGAGGAAGGUGGGGAUGACGUCAAAUCAUCAUGCCCCUUAUGUCUUGGGCUUCACGCAUGCUACAAUGGCCGGUACAGAGGGUCGCGAAAACCGUGAGGUGGAGCUAAUCCCAAAAAACCGGUCUCAGUUCGGAUUGGGGUCUGCAACUCGACCCCAUGAAGUCGGAGUCGCUAGUAAUCGCAGAUCAGCAACGCUGCGGUGAAUACGUUUCCCGGGCCUUGUAC